rnacentral:rRNA from 1 species
UACGUAGGGUGCAAGCGUUGUCCGGAAUUAUUGGGCGUAAAGAGCUCGUAGGCGGUCUGUCGCGUCGGAUGUGAAAACCCAGGGCUCAACCCUGGGCCUGCAUUCGAUACGGGCAGACUAGAGUUCGGUAGGGGAGACUGGAAUUCCUGGUGUAGCGGUGAAAUGCGCAGAUAUCAGGAGGAACACCGGUGGCGAAGGCGGGUCUCUGGGCAUGACCUGACGCUGAGGAGCGAAAGCAUGGGGAGCGAACAGG